GACAGAGGGUGCAAACGUUGUUCGGAAUUACUGGGCGUAAAGCGAGUGUAGGCGGUUUCCUAAGUCAGGUGUGAAAGCCCCGGGCUCAACCCGGGAAGUGCACUUGAAACUGGGAGGCUAGAGUAUCGGAGAGGUUGGUGGAAUUCUCGGUGUAGAGGUGAAAUUCGUAGAUAUCGAGAGGAACACCGGUGGCGAAGGCGGCCAACUGGACGAAUACUGACGCUGAGACUCGAAAGCGUGGGGAGCGAACAGG
rnacentral:rRNA from 1 species